GACGAACGCUGGCGGCGUGCUUAACACAUGCAAGUCGAACGGAAAGGCCCUGCUUUUGUGGGGUGCUCGAGUGGCGAACGGGUGAGUAACACGUGAGUAACCUGCCCUUGACUUUGGGAUAACUUCAGGAAACUGGGGCUAAUACCGGAUAGGAGCUCCUGCUGCAUGGUGGGGGUUGGAAAGUUUCGGCGGUUGGGGAUGGACUCGCGGCUUAUCAGCUUGUUGGUGGGGUAGUGGCUUACCAAGGCUUUGACGGGUAGCCGGCCUGAGAGGGUGACCGGGCACCUUGGGACUGAGAUACGGCCCAGACUCCUACGGGAGGCAGCAGUGGGGAAUAUUGCACAAUGGGCGGAAGCCUGAUGCAGCAACGCCGCGUGCGGGAUGAAGGCCUUCGGGGUGUAAACCGCUUUCGCCUGUGACGAAGCGUGAGUGACGGUAAUGGGUAAAGAAGCACCGGCUAACUACGUG
rnacentral:rRNA from 1 species